GCUAGAAUUUUUAGCGAAAGUUGUCGAUCAAUAACUAUAACAGAGUUAGAAUUUUUAGCAAAAGUUGUCGAUCAAUAACUAUAACAGAGUUAGAAUUUUUAGCAAAAGUUGUCGAUCAAUAACUAUAACAGAGUUAGAAUUUUUAGCAAAAGUUGUCGAUCAAUAACUAUAACUGAGGACUGUUUACUUCUAUCAAGAAUCAGUUUGUCAUUGUUCAGUAAGUUAACAUCUUGUGAAGUGUGAAAACUUAGGGCCUGGUUUGAAGGAUGCUAUCUUCCAUAACGUUGUUCUACACAUAGAGCAUGUGACAGGAAGUUUCUGCCACAAAGAAUUUAAUGUAUUAGUAUGUUUUAAGAAGGUGACAUUUGUAUAGAGUGUUUGCUUUCAGGAAGUUCCCUGCCACCCAAACCCUGGCUAGGACUGGAACACAUAAACAAGGCACCUAAAAGAUCUCGAUGUAACUACUCGGAAAAAGCUAUCAAGAUCCAUAACUGAGUGAGAUAUAGUGACCUCUUGAUAUGUCCAGCUUCUAGAUCUCCCACAAUCAGCAGAUUUGCUCUUGAUCCGAGAGGUCCCUGUCUCAGCCAGCACUCAGGCCUGGUUUUGUGUGUACAGUGUGGGGAGAGUGAAAUUAUAUGUCUAGUUUUUUACCUGAAUCCUUGGCUGCUAGAAGUACCCUACUAAUCAAGGUUCAGACCUACAUAGCUUGAUUCCAGGCCAACCCGUUCAAUUAUGUUUUGUUUGCAAGCUGCUAUUUCCCAUCAAAUUCCCUCUUAAUGUUAAAGGAUAUUGAGGACUUCAGUGCUGUAGGUGAUAGUGAACGUUGAAAUGGCGAGACCGGGUUUGUACAGUGGAAUUACUCGGCACUAAAUGUGUUAAGUCAUUUUAAUAUUAUAGUGACUAUUGUAUGAAAUUUUUGAAAAUAAAAAUUAAUCCUGUAAAAUGUCAUUAUUUUCGUUAGUAUCGUAAUCUCACAAUUUUCACGUAUCAAUGAAUUAGUUUUGAAUACUGUUGAUGUAUUGCUUUAGAAAAUGCCAGUAAAAGAAGUUAUAAUUUAUAUCACCUGUUACCUGUGCUAAUAACUGUUGUAUAUUGACAAAAAGUCUGUGUGAAUGUUUACACAUUUUCACUCAUGAUGUCAGACUUACCUGUUGUACAGAGAUAGAGUUGUACACGUUAUCAGUGGUUUUCUUUUGAUUAACCUGACUGUUUCAUGGAUUAUAAUUGAUAGCUGUACUUUCAUAUUACAAACUAAUGGUGGAUAUAUUAACGUUUAGGUAGCAACAAAAUUGUAUGAGAGUAUUGUCCCACAGUAAGGAUAAUUUCUUUCUGGACUUUUGGAGGUCCAAACAGUUACAUUAUUUAUAAAAAAAAUCCUUGAAAGGCUGAAAUUUUCAUUCUAGUUUACUGGUUUCUAUUAAUUAUAUAAUGUUUGUGGAAAUGAAUCUUGUAUUAAAACAAAAAAGUUGUCACAUAAAGAAUAAAAAACAUGUUUUAACCAUCAGUAUUUGUGAACUGGACCUGUUGGGGGUCAUGUUUUAGCUGUAAUGUAAACAUUAUUGCUCAGUAGAUCAGGCUAGCAUAAGAAUUCUAAGAUAAUUAUAUGAAUGUGCCUUUGUAUGUUAUUUUUCAACAGAUCAGGUGUGACUGUUACGUCACUGUGUUCUGGACAGUACAAUAUUGUUCAACAGACCAGACAGGUACGACUGUUACAACACUGUAUUCUGGACAGUACACUAUUGUUCAACAAAUUAGGCAGGUGUGACUGUUGCAACACUGUGAUCUGGACAGUACACUAUUGUUCAACAGACCAGACAGGUGUGACUGUUAAAAUACUGUAUUCUGGACAGUACACUAUUGUUGAACAGAUUAUGUAGGUUUGACUGUUGCAACACUGUUAUCUGGACGGUUUGUUAUAUUGUUCAACAGAUCAGACGGGUGUGACUGUUAAAACACUGUAUUAUGGACAGUACAUUAUUGUUGAACAGAUUAUGUAGGUGCGACUGUUAAAACACUGUGUACUGGACAGUACACUAUUGUUCAACAAAUUAGGCAGGUGUGACUGUUGCAACACUGUUAUCUGGAAGGUUUGUUAUAUUGUUCAACAGAUCAGACGGGUGUGACUGUUAAAACACUGUAUUCUGGACAGUACACUAUUGUUGAACAGAUUAUGUAGGUGCGACUGUUAAAACACUGUGUACUGGACAGUACACUAUUGUUCAACAAAUUAGGCAGGUGUGACUGUUGCAACACUGUUAUCUGGAAGGUUUGUUAUAUUGUUCAACAGAUCAGACGGGUGUGACUGUUAAAACACUGUAUUAUGGACAGUACAUUAUUGUUGAACAGAUUAUGUAGGUGCGACUGUUAAAACACUGUAUUCUGGACAGUACACUAUUAUUCAACAGCUCAGACAGGCGUGAGUGUUACAACACAGUGUCCUAGAUUUACCCAUAUCUAGUCAGAACUAAGCACCAUUGAUCAAAUUCUGGCUAGAUACCACCUACCUUAGAAACAGGCUGUACUAAAUAGAAAUGUUUCAAUCGAGUUACUUGGUGAUAAAAGCUACCUUAUUUUUUCUAAGCUGUAAGGAAUAGUUUAUACAGUAGUGGUGUGCACCAAAUGCGAAGCCUGUUAUCAUAUUGUUUAGGUCAUCUUUGUCUCAUUAUUUCCAAUAACAUGGUUAAGAACUGAGAUGACAAUUGAAGGUGACCGCAACAUGAUCUGUGGUGUAAAAAUUCUAGCGUGUUUCUUACGGAAAGAUGAGCCUAAUUUCACAAUCCUUAUUUUACUGUUUGAGAGAGAAAGUGUAUGUAUUUGAUGUAGAUAGUCUGCAAAAUUAUCUUUUUAAAUAAAUUUAACAUAAACCACCAGGAAA